ACACCUUACUUGGGUAUAAAAUGCAGUAGUUUAGAACAGCAAAUGCAAAACGGUUGUCUACCAGUCACAUACACAACAACAACAGUCCAGAAACAUCUCAUCCACCAUGAAGGUUUUCGUAAUACUGUGCGCCUUUGCUGCUUGUAUGUUUGCUGCCGGAGAUCCUGUGCCUGUGGUUGAACCUGCUGUGAUUGAUCCUCCUGCAUUGGAGAAAAGCGAUGCCGUUGUGGUUCCGGACGCGCCAGCAGUAGCUGUGGAAGCCCCAGUAGAAGCAACAGAAGAAGGUG